rnacentral:rRNA from 1 species
CUCAGUUCAGACUGCAGGCUGCAACUCGCCUGCAUGAAGUCGGAAUUGCUAGUAGUCGUAGGUCAGCAUACUACGGUGAAUACGUUCCCGGGCCUUGUACACACCGCCCGUCAAACUAUGAGAGUUGGCAACACCCGAAGUCGGUAGUCUAACCGCAAGGAGGACGCCGCCGAAGGUGGGGUCGAUGAAUAGGGUUAAGUCGUAACAAGGUACC